UGGGGAAUAUUGGACAAUGGGGGCAACCCUGAUCCAGCAAUGCCGCGUGUGUGAAGAAGGCCUGCGGGUUGUAAAGCACUUUUGGCAGGGAUGAAAAGCACUGGAUUAAUAACCCAGUGUGUUGACCUAACCUGCAGAAGAAGCACCGGCUAACUACGUGCCAGCAGCCGCGGUAAUACGUAGGGUGCAAGCGUUAAUCGGAAUUACUGGGUGUAAAGCGUGCGCAGGCGGUUGUGUAAGUCAGAUGUGAAAUCCCCGGGCUCAACCUGGGAAUUGCAUUUGAGACUGCACGGCUAGAGUGUGUCAGAGGGGGGUAGAAUUCCACGUGUAGCAGUGAAAUGCGUAGAUAUGUGGAGGAAUACCGAUGGCGAAGGCAGCCCCCUGGGAUAACACUGACGCUCAUGCACGAAAGCGUGGGGAGCAAACAGGAUUAGAUACCCGAGUAGUCCCUGAGCGGGCUGGCAAGGCGCAU
rnacentral:rRNA from 1 species